AUCCAACUGACGAGUCCCAAAUAGGACAAAUUGACGCGCGUUCUGGAU
rnacentral:hammerhead_ribozyme from 1 species